rnacentral:tRNA from 1 species
GGGGGUAUAGCUCAGUGGUAGAAUGUGUGCUUACCAUGUACGAGGGUUCAAUCCCCUGUACCUCCA